UGUUCUGUGGCUUAGUUGGUUAAAGCGCCAGUCCAGUGAAUACGGAAUCGUGGGUUCGAAUCCCACCAGAACGC
rnacentral:tRNA from 1 species